CGAGACCGGGGCUGGAGGCGGGCCGAGGCCGCGAGUUGAGCCUCAGGAAGCAGAAGGGGCGCGGAAAGAUGCGAUUGACGUCGCAAGCGAACCAAUGACGAGCGAGCUGUGGCAGGCCUCCAGCCAAUGGGCAGUGAGGCCUGACGCGGGGGGCGGACGCUGGGGCCGAGGGUAGCUUGAGCGCGGCGGCGGCGUUGUUCAGUCAGAGCGAGAACAUUCCAGAGGUCGCCCAGCUCCGGCGCUGACGGGUGUGGACCGCGGACGUCGCUGGGACAGCCCCUCCCCGCUGCUCGGCGGCGGCACCUGGCCCGGCCGCUCCUCGCUGCGCUUCGCCUCCGCCUCCUCGGACUCGGACUCGGGUUUAUAUCGCGCCUCACUUCAUCCCAGUCCCGGGCGAGCAGCGUUGGGUUUAUGUCUUUAUUUGACGAAAACGAGCUGUUGCGCAGCCAUUGGUACCUGUAUUGGGGAAACAUAGCAUACAAGCAAGAAGCUUACAGCCUCAGUGGCGAAAAUUUUUUCAUGUCAGAGACCGAGAACUCUUGCAGUCGUUUAUGUCAUCCCUUCUUCUCCAGACAGAAGAUACCAAAAAGUUGCAAUCAAAGAUCUCUUCAUCUUAUUGAUAAAGCCACUAAUAAGCCAAAAUGUCUGUCAAUGUCAACCGCAGCGUGUCAGACCAGUUCUAUCGCUACAAGAUGCCCCGUCUGAUUGCCAAGGUUGAGGGCAAAGGCAAUGGAAUCAAGACAGUUAUAGUCAACAUGGUUGACGUUGCAAAGGCGCUUAAUCGGCCUCCAACGUAUCCCACCAAAUAUUUUGGUUGUGAGCUGGGAGCACAGACCCAGUUUGAUGUUAAGAAUGACCGUUACAUUGUCAAUGGAUCUCAUGAGGCGAAUAAGCUGCAAGACAUGUUGGAUGGAUUCAUUAAAAAAUUUGUUCUCUGUCCUGAAUGUGAGAAUCCUGAAACAGAUUUGCAUGUCAAUCCAAAGAAGCAAACAAUAGGUAAUUCUUGUAAAGCCUGUGGCUAUCGAGGCAUGCUUGACACACAUCAUAAACUCUGCACAUUCAUUCUCAAAAACCCACCUGAGAAUAGUGACAGUGGUACAGGAAAG
rnacentral:lncRNA from 1 species